UACGUAGGUGACAAGCGUUGUCCGGAUUUACUGGGCGUAAAGAGCGCGCUAGGCGGUCGUUCAAGUCGAGUGUGAAAGCCCCCGGCUCAACUGGGGAGGGUCAUUCGAUACUGAUCGACUCGAAGGCAGGAGAGGGUAGUGGAAUUCCCGGUGUAGUGGUGAAAUGCGUAGAUAUCGGGAGGAACACCAGUGGCGAAGGCGACUACCUGGCCUGUUCUUGACGCUGAGGCGCGAAAGCUAGGGGAGCAAACGGG
rnacentral:rRNA from 1 species